UACGAAGGGGGCUAGCGUUGUUCGGAUUUACUGGGCGUAAAGCGUACGUAGGCGGAUUGUUAAGUCAGGGGUGAAAUCCUGGAGCUCAACUCCAGAACUGCCUUUGAUACUGGCAAUCUUGAGUCCGGAAGAGGUGAGUGGAACUCCUAGUGUAGAGGUGGAAUUCGUAGAUAUUAGGAAGAACACCAGUGGCGAAGGCGGCUCACUGGGCCGGUACUGACGCUGAGGUGCGAAAGCGUGGGGAGCAAACAGG
rnacentral:rRNA from 1 species